rnacentral:rRNA from 1 species
GACGAACGCUGGCGGCGUGCUUAACACAUGCAAGUCGAACGAUGAAGCUAGAGCUUGCUCUGGUGGAUUAGUGGCGAACGGGUGAGUAACACGUGAGUAACCUGCCCCGAACUCUGGGAUAACUGCUGGAAACGGUAGCUAAUACCGGAUAUGACCAAUGAAGGCAUCCUCUGUUGGUGGAAAGAAUUUCGGUUCGGGAUGGACUCGCGGCCUAUCAGCUUGUUGGUGAGGUAACGGCUCACAAAGGCGACGACGGGUAGCCGGCCUGAGAGGGUGAUCGGCCACACUGGGACUGAGACACGGCCCAGACUCCUACGGGAGGCAGCAGUGGGGAAUAUUGCACAAUGGGCGCAAGCCUGAUGCAGCAACGCCGCGUGAGGGACGACGGCCUUCGGGUCGUAAACCUCUUUUAGUAGGGAAGAAGCGAAAGUGACGGUACCUGCAGAAUAAGCACCGGCUAACUCUGUGCCAGCAGCCGCCGCCG